rnacentral:lncRNA from 1 species
AUCCGCUCGCUGUAGCGGUGGCUCAACCUGUGGUAGUGGGGGAGGGUCGGGUAACUCCCUUCUCUCCUCUCGGCCUUGCUGGGCAGCAAUGAUCCUUUCUAGCAGCUCAAAUAUUCUGUCCAUAUCUUCUCGAAGCGAAUCAUCCCGGUCUGCUCGGUUUAGUGGGGGUCUUCCUCUCCUCAUCUCUCUGCACCUGCAUUUCACAAGGAAGGUUUGAGUAACGAUUAAUCGGUUGGUAUUUCUCUAAGUAU